GAUGAACGCUGGCGGCGUGCCUAAUACAUGCAAGUCGAGCGAACGGACGAGAAGCUUGCUUCUCUGAUGUUAGCGGCGGACGGGUGAGUAACACGUGGAUAACCUACCUAUAAGACUGGGAUAACUUCGGGAAACCGGAGCUAAUACCGGAUGAUAUUUUGAACCGCAUGGUUCAAAAGUGAAAGACGGUCUUGCUGUCACUUAUAGAUGGAUCCGCGCUGCAUUAGCUAGUUGGUAAGGUAACGGCUUACCAAGGCAACGAUGCAUAGCCGACCUGAGAGGGUGAUCGGCCACACUGGAACUGAGACACGGUCCAGACUCCUACGGGAGGCUGCAGUAGGGAAUCUUCCGCAAUGGGCGAAAGCCUGACGGAGCAACGCCGCGUGAGUGAUGAAGGUCUUCGGAUCGUAAAACUCUGUUAUUAGGGAAGAACAUAUGUGUAAGUAACUGUGCACAUCUUGACGGUACCUAAUCAGAAAGCCACGGCUAACUACG
rnacentral:rRNA from 1 species